GUCACCUACGGGGCGCAGCAGUGAGGAAUAUUGGUCAAUGGCCGCAGGGCUGAACCAGCCAAGUCGCGUGAGGGAUGACGGUCCUAUGGAUUGUAAACCUCUUUUGUCAGGGAGCAAAGGGCGCCACGUGUGGCGUUUUGCGAGUACCUGAAGAAUAAGCACCGGCUAACUACGUGCCAGCAGCCGCGGUAAUACGUAGGGUGCGAGCGUUAAUCGGAAUUACUGGGCGUAAAGGGUGUGCAGGCGGUUUUGCAAGCUGGGUGUGAAAGCGCCGGGCUUAACCUGGGAAAGCCGUACA
rnacentral:rRNA from 1 species